rnacentral:rRNA from 3 species
GGACAAAUGAUUGGGGUGAAGUCGUAACAAGGUAGCCGUAUCGGAAGGUGCGGCUGGAUCACCUCCUUU